GCUUUUUAAGUUACAUAACAUAUUGAAUAAUUGUUUUUUUCUGAGGCUAUUAUGAUGCAAUAUCUAUUUGUUGUGUGCAGCAAAUCGAUCCAAUACAACAACCUAUUGAUGAGUGGCAAAGGCUUGUUCCUCAACUACACACUAGCUGGCUUUCUGGGUGGCAGGGUUGCCAGGUCAGUGGUUUUCCUGCGGAAUUGGGCUACUUUUGAAGUGUUGCCAUGGGUAUUUUUUGUCUGCAAUCAAGUUAACAACUAGCUCGCUAGCAACCCCAGGGAGAAACAUCACGCAGGGAGGAAGAGGGAAAAGGGAAGAGAAAGUGAAAAGCCAAAGUAACAGAUCCUAAGGGUGUUAAUGGGGCUAUUUUUGUUGAAUGAGAGCUUUAUGUGGGUCAGACUGUGUCUUCCUUUGACAACCUCCGGACACUGCUGUUCUGCUGCAGUCUUCAUUAAUGGCCCAAAGAGUGUCAUACUGACCUGAGAUGGAAGGUGUUCAUCGCUGUCAAAACAGCUCAAUCCAUUGUUGUUGUUUUUUUAAACUGCUAUGUCCAUCCCCUCAUAAUAAUAAUAAUAAUAAUGAGCAGUAAUUAAAAAGUGAUGGUUUUGUUGUUUGAAAAAUGCAGUUAUGUUUCUCAACAGGUUCCAAAUACAAGUAUGUUAAUGUGAAUGGCACAAUAUACUGUAGUUGAUCACUCACUGCAAGCUCAGUGAUGUCUUUGUAAAUAAAAAGGGAUACAAGGCAUUAUUAUGUUUUUGGGUACACGGGACAAGUUCAGAAUAAAUCUAUGUAACCUAGGAUGAAAGGCUGUUUUCUUUAGAGUGAGAUUAGCCAUUCAUUUUCUAAACAUUCUUUUAAAGGCAACAGCUAUACAUUUUGGUAUGUAGGAUUUAGUGGCAUCUAGCAGUGAAAUUGCAGUUUGCAACCAUUUGAAUACCGCUCACCUCACCCUCCCAUUUCAAGAGUAUAGGAGAAACUGGUGGCUGCGAAACUCACAAAAAGCUAGAGCCAGUGAUUGGUUUGUCUGUUCUGGGCUACUGUAGAAACAUGGCAGUGCA